GACGAACGCUGGCGGCGUGCCUAAUACAUGCAAGUCGAGCGGACGAAUCGAAAGCUUGCUUUUGAUUCGUUAGCGGCGGACGGGUGAGUAACACGUGGGCAACCUGCCCUGUAGACGGGGAUAACACCGAGAAAUCGGUGCUAAUACCGGAUAACACGAAAUGUCGCAUGACGUUUCGUUGAAAGACGGCGCAAGCUGUCGCUACAGGAUGGGCCCGCGGCGCAUUAGCUAGUUGGUGAGGUAACGGCUCACCAAGGCGACGAUGCGUAGCCGACCUGAGAGGGUGAUCGGCCACACUGGAACUGAGACACGGCCCAGACUCCUACGGGAGGCAGCAGUAGGGAAUCUUCCGCAAUGGACGAAAGUCUGACGGAGCAACGCCGCGUGAGCGAAGAAGGCCUUCGGGUCGUAAAGCUCUGUUGUUAGGGAAGAACAAGUAACGCAGUAACUGGCGCUACCGUGACGGCACCUAACGAGAAAGCCACGGCUAACUACGUG
rnacentral:rRNA from 1 species